AAGAGGGAGAGAUGGAGAGAUGUUAUUCAGUUAGGAGAAAUGAGGAUUUGAGAUCUAUUGCACAGCAUAGUGACUAUAGUUAAAAAGUAAUGUAUAUUUUGGGCUGUUCUUGGAGAUCAUGGCAGACGGGAGGCAGGACUAGAUUGUAGCUCCUACUUGGACAGGCAGAGCAGUGGUGCAGAGGCUUGUAUUGUGAAUUUUAGCCCCGGAUCGACUGCAAGAACAAACCAGCAACCCCACGAGAACCCACAGACCCUCUGAAGGAAGCAGACUGCUCCUGCAGGACCCAGGAGACACCACAAAUACUGCUUAAAUUCCCAUCUGUGAUACAAUUUGGAAUAAAUGCGUUUGAUGCCAACACCUUGAAAAAUAUCCCUCAAAAAACAAAAGAACAAGAGCCACCAGCUCCCGAACAAAGUAAAACAUGGGAACCUAAUUUUAAGGGUAUUAAUAAGUGAAAAUAAAUUGCUCUCUGGACUGGUUGAUGGUUUCGGUUGUCCCACUUGAAGAAAGCAGAAAUCUGUAUAUAUUUGCAGAUGAAUUACAUCUGGGAAUGGGCUGCCCUGCAAAUCGGAUACAUACAUAUGUAUAUGAGUUUAUAUAUCUUGUUCAUGAUUGUGGCAUCAGGACAAGGGUAAUUUCUGAGGAAACGCUCCUUUUUCAAACGGAGCUGUACUUUAUCCCAAGGAAUAUACAUCGUGACCCUGAGGAAAUCUCUUUGGAGUGUUCUGCCUCUAGGAAAUCAGUGUGGCUUACACCAGUUUCUACUGAGAAUGACCUAAAAUUGGAUCCUAGUCCUUUUAUUGCUGACUUUCAGGCAACACCAGAAGAGUUAGGAUUAUUAUCUUCUACCAAAUUGCUCUCAGCUAAAGGAGAAAUGGAAACUUGAAGGUGGCAUUAUGUAUUUGGGAGGAAAAUAGUUUUGUUUUUUCAUAGCAAAAAUAUACUUGCUAUAUAUCUCUCCUUAAGUCUCUGGUUUCUAAAAACCCUGCUUCAGUAAAGGUCCUGAUUAGUUGAUUAGUGAAUGUGUAUUUCUAAAUGUUUGUAUUCAAUAGGGCUAUGGCUUAUUAAUUUAAUGUUAACUAUUAGAUAAUUCAUAUUAUACAUUUAUUUAAGCUCUUUGCUGUUCUGUGUGGAAUAUUCAACAAUACGUCUUCAAUGAUAAUGACUUGAUUUAAUUGAUAUAAACCUCCAAUAAAUAUGUUCUAAUAUUUUUCAGGAAGAAUAAAUAAUAGAGAUAGACAGAAAAAUGUGCAAGAGGGAAAACUUUGAGCCUAGCGUAAAAUUUGACGUAUUAACUAUCACAAAAGACAAAAUCCUUUAUGUGCAGAUAUUUUAAUUCAUGUAGACUUUCCUAUUAAUCACUAAAGUUGAAUCCUAAUCAUAACGCAAUGUGACAACCUAUUUAGAUUAUUCCAGAAGUAAAUUCAAUUUAUUUUCUAGAGCUCAAGUAACCACCACCUUAGCUGAAAUUUGAUGUUAGGUUUUCCUUUCUCCUCAGUAUGGUCCUUCCACACUCAAAAUGAUUUGUUGAGUUGGUCAAGCAAAGAGUUAUCCUGCCACCUAAGGGAAUCCAUUAAAUAAUCAUUACCACCUACUUUAUACUCUCUUCUUUCCCUUAAACAGGGAGUCUAUAUAUGUAAUAUAUCAAAAAACACUUCUGAUUUUCGUAGAUUUCUUAUAUCGAGAGUGAGAAUUGAACUGUGCCAUUGGCUGUUCAAUCGCUUAUUGAAUCUACGUUUUGAUGUCACGUCCUCCUGGAAACAAAUUUUGCCAAGAUACUCUGUAUUAUUAUUUUUAAUUAAAGUGGUACUAUUCCAUUUCCAAUAAAAUGCUGCCUAUAGCUGUUUACUUGUCAAAGAAUUUGACACUGUCAUAGUGGGCAUCUCUCUUUGGCAGUUAAUAUGCAGCUAAGAGGUAAUACUUCUAUGGGACUUCCUAAGUGUCAGAAUAUGGUACAAGUAUAUUGCAAUAAGUUAUUUAACCUUAAAGAGAAAACUGUAUCACUAUUAUCCCAGUUUUGCAGAUAAGCAAACAAACGCAGGUUAAAUCAUUUGCCUGAGUCUGACAACUUGUUGGUUUUUGUUGAAGAUUUAAAAUCAGGCAGUGUGCCUCUAGGUCUGUCUCUGUGCUUUCUCUUUGUACAUUAGCAACUAUACCCUACUGCUUGUAAUUAUCUUAAGUCGCUGAACUUUAGUGCUCUAGAAAACAAUUGUUAUUCAAGCAGUUACAUAAUUCUCAAUAAAGCAACGUUUAGCAA